UACGGAGGGGGUUAGCGUUGUUCGGAAUUACUGGGCGUAAAGCGUACGUAGGCGGUUCAGAAAGUUGGGGGUGAAAUCCCGGGGCUCAACCCCGGAACUGCCUCCAAAACUCCUGGUCUGGAGUUCGUGAGAGGUGAGUGGAAUUCCGAGUGAAGAGGUGAAAUUCGUAGAUAUUCGGAGGAACACCAGUGGCGAAGGCGGCUCACUGGCUCGAUACUGACGCUGAGGUGCGGAAGCGUGGGGAGCAAACAGG
rnacentral:misc_RNA from 1 species